CAUGUGAUCAAUCAGCACUCAGCAGAAGUCAGAGAAAUUGUGGUCUAGCAGACUGUUGCUAGUUCAAGGUUUAAAAGAACCAGCAUAUAGAGAUGAAGAAUUUAUCCCAGCAUUUGAUUUUGGGCACUGUUUGGAAGUUGCUCCCAAUGCAGUUUUAAGAGCUUCUGCUGUUAUCGAUCACAUAUGAGAAAUGUAGUGAUUGCGGGAAGAGGUGAGGUGACUUGUCAAAGACAAAGUGGA